rnacentral:rRNA from 1 species
GAUGAACGCUGGCGGCGCGCCUAACACAUGCAAGUCGAACGAUUAAAGCACCUUCGGGUGUGUAUAAAGUGGCGAACGGCUGAGUAACACGUGGGCAACCUGCCCCUUUCAUUGGGAUAGCCACGGGAAACCGUGGAUAAUACCGAAUACUUCGAGACUUCCGCAUGGAAGACUCGAGAAAGCUCCGGCGGCGAGGGAUGGGCCCGCGGCCUGUGAGCUUGUUGGUGGGGUAACGGCCUACCAAGGCAAUGAUGGGUAGCUGGGUUGAGAGACCGACCAGCCAGAUUGGGACUGAGACACGGCCCAGACUCCUACGGGAGGCAGCAGUGGGGAAUCUUGCACAAUGGGCGAAAGCCUGAUGCAGCGACGCCGCGUGCGGGAUGAAGGCCUUCGGGUUGUAAACCGCUGUCAGCAGGGACGAGGCGAAAGUGACGGUACCUGCAGAAGAAGCCCCGGCUAACUACGUG